rnacentral:rRNA from 1 species
AUUGAACGCUGGCGGCAUGCCUUACACAUGCAAGUCGAACGGCAGCACGGGAGCAAUCCUGGUGGCGAGUGGCGAACGGGUGAGUAAAGUAUCGGAACGUGCCCAGUCGUGGGGGAUAACGUAGCGAAAGUUACGCUAAUACCGCAUACGAUCUAUGGAUGAAAGCGGGGGAUCGCAAGACCUUGCGAGAUUGGAGCGGCCGAUAUCAGAUUAGGUAGUUGGUGGGGUAAAGGCUCACCAAGCCGACGAUCUGUAGCUGGUCUGAGAGGACGACCAGCCACACUGGGACUGAGACACGGCCCAGACUCCUACGGGAGGCAGCAGUGGGGAAUUUUGGACAAUGGGCGAAAGCCUGAUCCAGCCAUGCCGCGUGCAGGAUGAAGGCCUUCGGGUUGUAAACUGCUUUUGUACGGAACGAAAAGGUUUGGGCUAAUAAGCUGAGCUCAUGACGGUACCGUAAGAAUAAGCACCGGCUAACUACGUGCCAGCCGCCGCCGUAA